rnacentral:ncRNA from 3 species
AUCAUGAUGGGCUCCUCGGUG